rnacentral:rRNA from 1 species
UGCCAGCCGCCGCGGUAAUACGGAGGGUGCAAGCGUUGUUCGGAAUUACUGGGCGUAAAGCGCGCGUAGGCGGCUUUUUAAGUCAGAUGUGAAAGUCCACGGCUCAACCGUGGAAGUGCAUUUGAAACUGGGAGGCUUGAGUAUUGGAGGGGGUGGUGGAAUUCCCGGUGUAGAGGUGAAAUUCGUAGAUAUCGGGAGGAACAUCAGUGGCGAAGGCGACCUCCUGGACUGAUAUUGACGCUGAGGUGCGAAAGCGUGGGGAGCAAACAGGAUUAGAUA